rnacentral:rRNA from 1 species
AUGCACGCUGGCGGCGUGCCUAACACAUGCAAGUCGAGCGGCAGCGAGGGGUGCUUGCACCCUGUCGGCGAGCGGCGGACGGCUGAGUAACGCGUGGGAACGUGCCCCAAAGUGAGGAAUAACUGCCCGAAAGGGUAGCUAAUACCGCAUAUUAUCUUCGGAUCAACGGAUUUAUCCGCUUUGGGAGCGGCUCGCGUCGGAUUAGGUAGUUGGUGAGGUAAUGGCUCACCAAGCCGACGAUCCGUAGCUGGUCUGAGAGGAUGACCAGCCAGACUGGAACUGAGACACGGUCCAGACUCCUACGGGAGGCAGCAGUGAGGAAUCUUCCACAAUGGGCGAAAGCCAGAUGGAGCAACGCCGCGUGCAGGACGAAGGCCUUCGGGUUGUAAACUGCUUUUAUAAGUGAGGAAUAUGACGGUAACUUAUGAAUAAGGAUCGGCUAACUACGUG